rnacentral:rRNA from 1 species
UAGGGAAUCUUCCGCAAUGGACGAGAGUCUGACGGAGCAACGCCGCGUGAGUGAAGAAGGUUUUCGGAUCGUAAAGCUCUGUUGCCAGGGAAGAAGAACAAGGAGAGGAACUGCUCCUUGUGUGACGGUACCUGAGAAGAAAGCCCCGGCUAACUACGUGCCAGCAGCCGCGGUAAUACGUAGGGGGCAAGCGUUGUCCGGAAUUAUUGGGCGUAAAGGGCGCGCAGGCGGGAAUGUAAGUUGGGUGUAUAAACCUGAGGCUUAACCUUGGGAGGCAUCCAAAACUGCAAACCUUGAGUGCAGAAGAGGGAAGUGGAAUUCCACGUGUAGCGGUGAAAUGCGUAGAUAUGUGGAGGAACACCAGUGGCGAAGGCGACUUCCUGGGCUGUAACUGACGCUG